rnacentral:rRNA from 1 species
GAUGAACGCUAGCGGGAGGCCUAACACAUGCAAGCCGAGCGGUAUUUGUCUUUCGGGACAGAGAGAGCGGCGUACGGGUGCGGAACACGUGUGCAACCUGCCUUUAUCUGGGGGAUAGCCUUUCGAAAGGAAGAUUAAUACCCCAUAAUAUAAUGAAUGGCAUCAUUUAUUAUUGAAAACUCCGGUGGAUAGAGAUGGGCACGCGCAAGAUUAGAUAGUUGGUGAGGUAACGGCUCACCAAGUCGAUGAUCUUUAGGGGCCUGAGAGGGUGAUCCCCCGCACGGGUACUGAGGCACGGACCAGACGCCGACGGGAGGCAGCAGUGAGGAAUAUUGGACAAUGGGUUAGCGCCUGAUCCAGCCAUCCCGCGUGAAGGACGACGGCCCUAUGGGUUGUAAACUUCUUUUGUACAGGGAUAAACCUACUCUCGUGAGGGUAGCUGAAGGUACUGUACGAAUAAGCACCGGCUAACUCCGUGCCAGCCGCCGCAGUAA